AUGAACACUGUCGAGAAGAAGCUGGCGGACCUGAUACGUGAACACCCGAAUCUGUACGACCAGUCGCGGCGGGAUUACAAAGACAACAUGAAGGGCCAUUUGUCGUGGAAGGAAAUCGCGGAGAACAUGGGGAAGUCGGAGGAAGAGUUGAAGCUGAAAUGGAAAAAUCUACGCGACAAGUUCUGUAAAGCGAAGAAGCGAAUGGCCAAGAGAAACUCCAGUCUGCUGGCGGACGACGAGAACCCGGUGGAGAGGCCCAUCCCGGUGCUGUACAACCAGCUGGCCUGGCUCAGCGCCUACGUCAAACCCAGACCAGGAGCUGGCGUGGGGGAGACAGACGAGGGAGCUGGAAGCGGUGAUGACCUGGAGAAAGAGCGUGAUAAAGACGAGAAGCUUCCCCUGCCUGUCGUUAGUACAAGCUUUGCUCUCGUGGAGUCCUCUCCAAACAGCCACCAGGAGAUAGGAGUCCCUCUUAAACGUAAAAGGCAAACCACCACAGACACUGAGAUAAGUCCUUCAGAUGGCCUCACCAGCCUCAGAGAUGAAGACGAACUGUUUCUGCUCAGCCUUCUGCCCUCACUGAAGAGGCUCACCAUUAAAAAGAGGAUGGAGGUGCGGAUGAAAUUCCAGCAAGUGCUGUAUGCUGCAGAGUUUGAGGACUAAAGGGCUCAUCAGAAGGCAAUAAAGCACUCAUUCAUUAAGCACUCAACAUGUUAAUAUAUUUUUUUAAUCGUUAUAACUUCUUAAUAUUUAUUUUUGGGAUAACCACUGCAAAAAAUAUGAAGGGAGUCAUCUAUGUAUCAAGACCUUUGUCUGUUGGUUUGAAAACAGAGAAGUGUCUCUCAUUUUGAAUGUAGAGGAGGGAAACACCCUUAUUUUUAGAAUUGUUAGUUACACGUGUGCAGUGAAAUCAAAAACUAUCAAAAACAACAGUGCCAUAAUAACUGCUUCCUUUUAAAGUUCAUUAUGUUCAUUAUACUAAUUUUUUGAGGCUGUAUGUUUUAGUGGUUUGUAUAAAACUGCAUCAUGUCAAACCCAGCCCCAAUUACAUACAGAUGUGUGAUAUUCUAUCCACACAUCUGUAUGUAAUUGGGGCUGGGUUUGACAAAACGUGUGAUGUGUAACCUGGUAACUCUACAUAAUGAAAAAUAAGAACAUCUGUUUGAGCCAUUGGUUUAUUAACUUUUCUGUUAAAAAGUUCAAUUUAUUUUUUGCAUACAGAACGCUUAAAUGCCGAUUACACCUUAAAUCAAAACUUUUAACACUUAGUUUAUCACUGCUCCUUGCAUUAUAGUGUUGCCAGAUAAACACUGAUGUACCAACACACAUCAAUUUAGUUAAUUCAUCAUCUGCUUGUCAGCACUGUCUGCUUCACUCCAAAUUAUUUUUGUAGAUUAGAAAGAACUCAAUGAUUGUACAUAAAUAUGUCUCCUUUAUCUUUCAGAAAGGAGUUAUUUCUACCAUAUAUUUUUUUACAAAUAAAUAUUUUUUGCUCCUGAAAGACAGUUUCGCCUCUUGUUAUUUUUGCAAAAAGGUGUUCUAUAUUCAAAUCUGAGGGUAGCUGCUGAUAAAAUGGGUUGGUGUUUUAUAUUAAGGGUGCAGUCUGUGAUACAGAUUUACACAAAUGAUCGACCUAUACAAAAUUAUCAUCAUAAAUUACUACCAAGUAUUUCAAAGACACGCAUCUUAAUUUCUUUUAAUUUAUAGUGCACACUAUAGACUUAUACAUGUAUGACUGUACACAUUUCAUUGUAAAGAUUGCUGACUUUGCCAUUCAGUGUUUUUCAUCCACCUAAUUGUACAUGGACCUCUUGUGUCUUUCCCUGCUCAUCCUUUGUAACUUGUUGGUUUAAAGGAAAUUCUGAGCAGCUCUAUCUUGUAUUUCAGUGAUAGUACUUUCUAACUGCAGUGAUACAAUUUCAUUGUCUUAGCUGCAAAGUCAUUCAUGUCCACACACACACACACACACACACACACACACACACACACACACACACACACACACACACACACACACACACACCAAUCACUGGUCUCAAGUAGGACCUCCCUCUGUUCAAUCCCCAGUCAGGGAUUGGUUGUUAACGACAGGCUCGACCCUCCUCCGUCGCAGAAAGCACUGUUCACUAACGUGUAUGUUUUCAUUCACGUCUUCAUGUAUUCCAUUCAUAUGAACAGUGUGUUAUGCUAAUUUGUGGGUGUGGCGUAUGAAUACAAGUCAGUGCCCCUCUUACUUGUCUUCCUGCUGCUUGUAUUUUGUCAACAUUCUGCUCCCCCCACCCAGCUCUCCUCUCCCCUCACUGUGUUUAUCCCCCUCCUUCCCUCCCUCCAUCUCCUCUCUCUUUGCUGUGUUACCCCCUAACCCCUCCCCCUCUCCCAGGCUUCCUGCUCUCUUGUCAUUGGGCGCUGUGUGGGGUGAUGGUUGUGGUUUCUGUCGGUGAUGUCUCCAGAGCAUGUACCGGCUUACUGCUUCAGAACUGUUCAAGCUGCCACCGAGUCAUUUCCUCAGUCUCUGCAUACAAGACCAGAACAUAGACUUAUCCCUUUGUUUGGACUGGACUACGGACUGCUGACAAGCUGCAAAAAAAGGGAUCGAUUCUCUUCUUUCUACUGCUUGAGGUGAGAGGCAAUAUUGACAUGAUAACAUUCUUUACGUGUUGGUAUUGUUAAAGCCCUGACAUGUUUACACUUAGUACAGUACAGGUUCUGAUGAUACUUAAAUUUUUGUCUUCUUCUUUAUAAAAUGUACUCCUCAUCUCCUGCUGUUAUAGCACCGCACUGUUUUUUGUUUCCGGCUUAUCAAAUGGAUGAAAACGUGUAUCACAAUCUGUGAGCACAGCAGCACCCCACUUCCAGCGCUGCUGCAGAAUGAAAGGCUGGCUACUACGAUGAAACAGCGUCACACCCCUAUUGGUAGGAAGAGGUUUCACCGAGGACUAUUGAUUGGUUGCUCUGUCUGUCUGUCAUACGGAAGGGCGUGUGCCUGCAAUGAUGAACUAGUCAUAUGGUGCAAACAUACCACCCUGGAAGUGGUGGUUAGUGUUGUGUUUGUUUAGGUGUGGUUCAGACGUAAAGGAAGAGAUGAGACGGACAGAGUGGAGGAGGACGGUGGGUGGAGGGCUGGAGGAGAGAGAUGGAAAAAUGAAGCUGAGAUAAAUGGAGAAAAAAAGUAGUUUGGAUGUGAGAAUCAGAAUGAACUGUUGCAUGUGUCAGAUACCGACAUGGGUAUGCAUUUUCCCUUGCAUAUUAUUAUGAUAUUGAAUUAAUAACAUUAAAGGUGCAGUAUGAACGAUAGAUAACUGUUGAGUCUCAUUCAUAGUACGUUUUGGGUUGGUGGCUGACCCACUCGACCAACUUGACCAACCCAAAGCGCCGUUGUUGCUGAACUGUGAUAUAGUGUUAAAGGUAGUAAGACAAAC
ensembl:lncRNA